rnacentral:rRNA from 1 species
GAUGGUUCGAUUAGUCUUUCGCCCCUAUACCCAGUUCAUACGAUCGAUUUGCACGUCAGAAUCGCUACGGACCUCCAUCAGGGUUUCCCCUGACUUCAUCCUGACCAGGCAUAGUUCACCAUCUUUCGGGUCCCAGCGUGUACGCUCUUGGUGCGCCGCAACUUGCAAUAAGUACGCGACGCCCCGGGAAUGCGAGGUAACAUAAAUAACGUUACCCAUCUUCCCUUUAUAAAAUAAUAAAUAAAUAUUAUAUAUAUUCACUUUCAUUACGCCUUUAGGUUUAUUAUAAAUACCCAAUGACUUGCGCACAUGCUAGAUG